rnacentral:rRNA from 1 species
UGGGGAAUAUUGCGCAAUGGACGAAAGUCUGACGCAGCGACGCCGCGUGUGGGAUGAAGCUCUUCGGGGUGUAAACCACUGUUGCCCGGGACGAAUAUCCUUCUUUAGAAGGAUUGACGGUACCGGGUGAGGAAGCACCGGCUAACUCUGUGCCAGCAGCCGCGGUAAUACAGAGGGUGCGAGCGUUGUCCGGAAUCACUGGGCGUAAAGGGCGCGUAGGUGGCUUGGUAAGCGUGUGGUGAAAGCCUGGGGCUCAACCCCAGGUCUGCCGUGCGAACUGCCAAGCUUGAGCAUAGUAGAGGCAGGUGGAAUUUCGGGUGUAGCGGUGGAAUGCGUAGAUAUCCGAAAGAACACCGGUGGCGAAGGCGGCCUGCUGGGCUAUUGCUGACACUGAGGCGCGACAGCGUGGGGAGCAAACAG